CUAAAAUUUAGAUACAUACACAUGUAGAGACAUGUCAAACAAGACAUUGUUUACAAGGCGCCAUCAACAUAUGUUGAGCGAUGUGUGUUACAAAACGCACAACAAGGACCGGUGACUGUGGAUAGCUAGACUCACUUUGAGGCUUCAUAAUCAUAAACUAAGGCCAGUUGUUUGUAAACGAUAGUGAAUGGCAUUGGAAUGCAAAUUAAAUGGGUGUCAAUUCAUGGAGCACGUGCUGGGUCGGCUCUAUGUCAAAAUUUCCUCUUGCAUUAUGUCUGCAUUGAUCCUGCAGUGCAUGUGGUAGCACAAACACCAGUCUAAUGCACCAGUCAAUUGUCAAAUUAUAUAUCUACUCACAUGCAUAAGAUUCCACUAUCCCAAUCUUCAGUCUUGUGAUCUUAAUUAACCUUCACAUGUUCUUGUUGCGGUCAUUGUUCUAAGAGAGUUUUAGAUAACAAUUAUGCUAUGGGUAAAAUAAAAAAUAAAAGAACGUUUAAACCUAUAGAAAAUGUGUAUCCAUUGAAACAUUUUAUCUAGGAAAAUGACAGUUAGAUCUCUAAUUUUUUUAUUUCACCACUAAAGUCCCUACCUACUUUUUCUCAAAUUAAUCCUUGUAUCUUUGACCUUAAAACGGUAACAUAAAAAAAUCCUUGUAUCUUUGAGUUCAUUCCGCUAAUUACCUUUAUGUGCUGCAAUCGAGAGGAUUUGAUCUGAAUCCAACGUACCGGUAAUGGGAACAAGUUGUCAAAAUAUAAAUUAUAAAGCACUAAAGCAACAUGAAAUUAGACAAUUGGCAUCUGAUGUGAUGAUGAAAUGUGAACAAGUGGUAAAAAAUAAAUUUAUAUAUAUAGGCUAUGUCCUGUUUGUGUCUUGCCAUUCCCAAUGGCGAACAGCCCUUAAAAUUGACUAUAUAUGUUGUAGCAAAAAGCCAGAAGUACAGUAUGGCCUUACCCUUACAUGGAAGUUGAAACAGCCUUUGGAAAUGCUCAGAUGCCAAAGGAAUAUUUAUGUCAUUUUGCUUUGCUUUUAGUUAAUUUGCUACAGCCCAAAAGUCGACAUAAUAAUUUUCAAAUAUAUAUACAUGCCUAAUAUCCAUAGUGGUCGUGGGAUUCUUGUUUGCAGUUUAUUUUAAUUAAGGUCUUAUUUAGUAUUGAGGUGUAACGGUUUUUAAGUCACAACUACCGUUUAAAAGAAAUUUAUAAUUGUAAAAUAAAAUUGAUAAUGUAUAGCAAA
rnacentral:lncRNA from 1 species